UGCAGUCGAGCGGGGAUUGAUGAAGUGCUUGCACAGAUUCAAUUCUAGCGGCGGACGGGUGAGUAACGCGUGAGCAAUCUGUCCUACACAGGGGGAUAACACUUGGAAACAGGUGCUAAUACCGCAUAAGACCACGGAAGGGCAUCCUUUUGAGGUAAAAGAUUUAUCGGUGUAGGGUGAGCUCGCGUCCCAUUAGCUAGUUGGUGAGGUAACGGCCCACCAAGGCGACGAUGGGUAGCCGACCUGAGAGGGUGAUCGGCCACAUUGGAACUGAGACACGGUCCAGACUCCUACGGGAGGCAGCAGUGGGGAAUAUUGGGCAAUGGGCGCAAGCCUGACCCAGCAACGCCGCGUGAAGGAAGAAGGUUUUCGGAUUGUAAACUUCUGUCCUUGGUGACGAAGAAAGUGACGGUAGCCAAGGAGGAAGCCCCGGCUAACUACGUGCCAGCAGCCGCGGUAGUACGUAGGGGGCAAGCGUUGUCCGGAAUGACUGGGCGUAAAGGGCGUGUAGGCGGCCUGAUAAGUGUGAAGUGAAAGUCCUGCUUUCAAGGUGGGAACUGCUUUGCAAACUGUCGGGCUUGAGUGCGGAAGAGGUAAGUGGAAUUCCCAGUGUAGCGGUGAAAUGCGUAGAGAUUGGGAGGAACACCAGUGGCGAAGGCGACUUACUGGGCCGCAACUGACGCUGAGGCGCGAAAGCGUGGGGAGCGAACAGGAUUAGAUACCCUGGUAGUCCACGCUGUAAACGAUGAAUGCUAGGUGUAGCGGGUAUCGACCCCUGCUGUGCCGCAGUAAACACAAUAAGCAUUCCGCCUGGGGAGUACGGCCGCAAGGUUGAAACUCAAAGGAAUUGACGGGGGCCCGCACAAGCAGCGGAGCAUGUUGUUUAAUUCGAAGCAACGCGAAGAACCUUACCAGGUCUUGACAUCGAUGUAAGCCUGUAGAGAUACAGGGUGCCUUCGGGCAACAGAAGACAGGUGGUGCAUGGUUGUCGUCAGCUCGUGUCGUGAGAUGUUGGGUUAAGUCCCGCAACGAGCGCAAC
rnacentral:rRNA from 1 species